rnacentral:rRNA from 1 species
UACGGAGGGGGCAAGCGUUGUUCGGAAUUACUGGGCGUAAAGGGCGCGCAGGCGGCUGCUCAAGUCAGGCGUGAAAGGCCUGGGCUCAACCCGGGAAUUGCGCUUGAGACUGGGCUGGCUUGAGUGCGGGAGAGGAUGGUGGAAUUCCCAGUGUAGAGGUGAAAUUCGUAGAUAUUGGGAAGAACACCGGUGGCGAAGGCGGCCAUCUGGACCGCAACUGACGCUGAUGCACGAAAGCUAGGGGAGCAAACCGG